UCGAAUGGGUGGGAAUGCAGCAGCGUAAACCAGAAGGGUGGAAAGGCUGCUUGGAAGCAUUGCGCGUAAGGGGCAUGGAGGCGGCGUGCCAAGGUGGUGGUGAAAUCGCUAGGCUGAACGGAGGACGGGCAUACGAAAGUGGCGAGCUUGAGUGCUGAAGAGGAUAGCGGAAGUCCCGGUGUAGAGGUGAAAUUCGUAGAUAUCGGGAGGAACACCAGUGGCGAAGGCGGCGAUCUGGGCAGACACUGACGCUGAGGUGCGAAAGCGUGGGGAGCAAACAGGAUUAGAUACCCCGGUAGUC
rnacentral:rRNA from 1 species